rnacentral:rRNA from 1 species
UACGUAGGGUGCAAGCGUUGUCCGGAAUUAUUGGGCGUAAAGAGCUCGUAGGCGGUUUGUCGCGUCUGCUGUGAAAACCCGAGGCUCAACCUCGGGCCUGCAGUGGGUACGGGCAGACUAGAGUGCGGUAGGGGAGAUUGGAAUUCCUGGUGUAGCGGUGAAAUGCGCAGAUAUCAGGAGGAACACCGGUGGCGAAGGCGGGUCUCUGGGCCGUAACUGACGCUGAGGCGCGAAAGCUAGGGGAGCAAACAGG